UGGGGAAUAUUGGACAAUGGGGGCAACCCUGAUCCAGCCAUGCCGCGUGUGUGAAGAAGGCCUUCGGGUUGUAAAGCACUUUAAGUGGGGAGAAAGGUUCGUCAGUUAAUACCUGGCGGAAGUGAUGUUACCCACAGAAUAAGCACCGGCUAACUCUGUGCCAGCAGCCGCGGUAAUACAGAGGGUGCAAGCGUUAAUCGGAAUUACUGGGCGUAAAGCGCGCGUAGGCGGCUGCCUAAGUCGGGUGUGAAAGCCCCGGGCUCAACCUGGGAACUGCACUCGAUACUGGGCGGCUAGAGUAUGAGAGAGGGAGGUAGAAUUCCACGUGUAGCGGUGAAAUGCGUAGAUAUGUGGAGGAAUACCGGUGGCGAAGGCGGCCUCCUGGUUCAAUACUGACGCU
rnacentral:rRNA from 1 species